rnacentral:rRNA from 1 species
UUGCUGGGUGGAUUAGUGGCGAACGGGUGAGUAACACGUGAGUAACCUGCCCUUGACUCUGGGAUAAGCGUUGGAAACGACGUCUAAUACCGGAUACGAGCUUCCACCGCAUGGUGAGUUGCUGGAAAGAAUUUUGGUCAAGGAUGGACUCGCGGCCUAUCAGCUUGUUGGUGAGGUAAUGGCUCACCAAGGCGACGACGGGUAGCCGGCCUGAGAGGGUGACCGGCCACACUGGGACUGAGACACGGCCCAGACUCCUACGGGAGGCAGCAGUGGGGAAUAUUGCACAAUGGGCGAAAGCCUGAUGCAGCAACGCCGCGUGAGGGACGACGGCCUUCGGGUUGUAAACCUCUUUUAGCAGGGAAGAAGCGAAAGUGACGGUACCUGCAGAAAAAGCACCGGCUAACUACGUGCCAGCAGCCGCGGUAAUACGUAGGGUGCAAGCGUUGUCCGGAAUUAUUGGGCGUAAAGAGCUCGUAGGCGGUUUGUCGCGUCUGCUGUGAAAUCCCGAGGCUCAACCUCGGGUCUGCAGUGGGUACGGGCAGACUAGAGUGCGGUAGGGGAGAUUGGAAUUCCUGGUGUAGCGGUGGAAUGCGCAGAUAUCAGGAGGAACACCGAUGGCGAAGGCAGAUCUCUGGGCCGUUACUGACGCUGAGGAGCG